CCCGGCUCCCUCAGACGGAGGAAGAAGGGGUGGGGUGGGAAAGAGCAGAGGCCACCGCGAGUGACCGGCCGCGUUCCAGUUCUCGAGGUUGGAAGAAUGCACAUCACCAAGAGUGAACCCGAGUGUCACCUGUGUACUCUGAGUGAUGGUGUCAGCGCCACAAGUGCUAUCUGUGUCCAAGGACCCAGCUACAUUAAGAGGUCUCGCCACUCCACGGAAAGGCACCUGUGAGGCAUGCCCAGCUUGUCCCCAGGACCAGGUGAGGGGGAUCACGGACACAUGUGCCCCAAGGAGCCAGCCCUGAGCACACUCUGCAUCAUAUGGGUCCUCACAGCACCCACACAGCAGUUAUCACCAUCCCAUGCCUCAGCCUGGCAGGAGGGCUGCCCCUGCACCUGCCCUCACGCCACAGGGAGACUCUCUGAGCAGGACCACUUCACUCUCAACAAGCCCAGGUCCUGAGGGGACAACUAGCACCUUGGUUGAACUCCCAGAGCCACCGCCCUCCAGCUUUGCAAUCAGGGCUUCCCUGGAGGCCGCAGGGUGGGGACGAAGGAGUGGAGGCCUCUGCUCAGCCCAUGUCCCCUCUGGCCAUUGGGGCCACUGUCCUGGGACAUGAGGCCUUGUUGGAACCACCAUGGCAGUCUGGGUGCCCCUGAAAGACUCUGCCCAGGCCAGAGGCCGCAGUCAACAGGGGACACUGAGGCAGCCCAGCGUACUCAGGGCCGAGGGGCACGUCCUGCCUGGCGGUCCCAUGCAGAUGACCCGAGGAACUGAGGAGGCUGACCUGCUCUCGACGGGCUCAGCACUCAGAGCGGCAGGAUCGGGGUUGACCCCACGCUCUGGGGGCGGGGCACGGCCUGCAGCCCCUCUGCAGUAAGAACCCCUGUCAUGCUACAGGAAUCUGGGCCUCUGUGGGGCAAGCACCAUGCCUGAAGCAUCAGGAAGCCUUUGUCACCCCGUACCUGGGACACUCGGUGCAUUUGAGACGUGGUUUCCUCCAGAAAGUGGUCCCCACGUCUUUGCUCGUCAACACCUCCCAUCCAGAUUUCAGAGGUGGUCGUCUGGACAGUCACGCUGGCCGUGCCUGUCUCCCGAGGGGUUGCCGUCCAGCCCCGCUGCAGCCUGUCUGGCCGUGUCUGCAUCUGGGGUGAGUCCCUGGGGGAAACCUGCGACCUGUGACCUGAGGCCCCGCCCCCUCCUCCCGGGCCUGGGACCCUGAGACCGGCAGCUGCAAGGGACGCCCAGUUCAUGGAGUGGUCCUCAGACUUGCUCCUGACCCCAGGGCCUCAGGCCUCAUAGAACAAGACCAUGCGAGCAGGGCAGGCUCUGCGGGCACACUCCUCAGGCCUCCCGGGCCUUGCACACUCACACUCCUUCUGUUCCCCUCUCUGGGGGAGUCAACCCAAGAACAGAGCUCUCUCCAUGGGAGGAUCCCAGAUGAUGCGCUGAGGACCAUGCGCCGAGAAGGUGGAGGCCGUCCGAGACACCAGUGCAGGUGAACUCAUCCCUCCUGGCAGAUGCCACAGCCAUCUUGGCUGCCCCGGCCAGUACUCAUGGGGCAGAUGCUGCUGGGGGCUCUGCGUCUGCCUGGACGCUCGGACAGCCCUGUGAGGACGUCCGAAGCCCCCAGUGUAGGCUGAGGAGACCAGGCGGCUGGCCCAGCUGACAGCCAAGCCAGGCCCCAGCCUGUUCCGCUGACCCCAGUGACCGCCAUGCAUCAGGGCCACAGCCACCCAGGUGAAGGGAACCAGGAGCCAGGGCUCAGGCCACGUCUCGGCCACCUUCCAGUCUUGUGGCCGUGUGCCAAGCACAUUUUGCACCCUCCCUGCAUGCUUCCUACAAAAUGGGACAGCAAGAGCACUGGCCUCUGCUGGCCAUGAUCGGGGGUCCAGGGGACAAUGAACACGGAAGUGCCCUGCAGACCGCUCCCUGGAGAAGGACAGCUGUCACUAUCCCCUUCUUGUCACACCCUCUGGAGCAGAAGCAAAGGGGGAGGAGAGGCAGGCCCCUUCUGCCCCCAGGGAGGAGCCCAGCACGCAGUGAGGACACUAGGCAGAAGGGGAGGCCGGUGUCUGGCUCAGAGACGACGGAUGGGGAGAGGGUUAAGCCGGAAAAUUGAUCCUAUGGGGAAGCCACCGGACGGAAGCCAGAUGGUUCCCUCACUGACACCCAGCUGCGGAGUCUGCCUCCCUCAAGGCCUGCUAGCUUCCUUUCCCGCCUUUGGAGAUCAGAGGAAGGGUCACCCCGCCCGCGGCUGGGGACUGGGGGGGUAAGGGGGGACCUGCAGGGCAGGAAACCGGCUUUGAAAAGCGCAUUUAAGGGACAGGCAAGUCCACGAUCGAUCGGGAAGCACCUUCUGAGAAAACAGAAGCUCUCAGAGAGUGAGACACCCAGAAGUGCAAGAUGAAAGUCUCUUUGUGUGAAUGCCACGGCUCCCGGCCUGGGCGUCCGUCCCCCCUCGAGGCCUGGAAACUACAAAGGGACAGGACCCUCCGGGAGGAGAUGGCCCUCCUCCAGCCCGAGGCCAGCAAGGAAGUCUCUGCUUCACCAGGAAAGGGAGGCCGUCUCAAACCUCAAAGAUGCAGGUCAAUACGAGGAAAUGUGCCCUGCCACGUGUUGCACGAGUCCUUUCAUACAAAAUGUCCAGAACAGGCAACUCCAGAGAGACAGGAAGCACACUGGUGGCUGCCAGGCACUGGGGAGAGGCAGCUGGGAGGAACUGUGAAUGGGGAUGGGGUGUUCUUGGGGUUGAUGAAAAUGUUUGGCAUUAGAUGGUGGUGUUGGUUGUACAAUAUCGUGAAUCUACUAAAAGCCGCCGACCUGUGUACUGUGAAAUGAAGAAUUUUAUGUUGUGUCAA